AACGAACGUUGGCGGCGUGGAUUAGGCAUGCAAGUCGCACGAAUCCCACCUGGGUAACUGGGUGGGGGAAGUGGCGAAAGGGGCAGUAAGGCGUGGAUAACCUGCCCCGGAGUCUGGAAUAGCCUUCCUAACGGAUGGGUAAUACCAGAUGCCGUAAGCCGGGGGCAACCCUGGCGUACGAAAGCUCCGGCGCUCCGGGAGGGGUUCACGUGGUAUUAGCUAGUUGGUGGGGUAACGGCCCACCAAGGCCAAGAUGCCUAGCAGGUGUGAGAGCACGACCUGCGCCACUGGCACUGGGACACUGGCCAGACUCCUACGGGAGGCUGCAGUCGAGGAUCUUCGGCAAUGGGCGCAAGCCUGACCGAGCGACGCCGCGUGUGCGAUGAAGGCCUUCGGGUUGUAAAGCACUGUCGAGGGGGAGAAAAGCCGCAAGGCUUGAUCGACCUCUGGAGGAAGCACGGGCUAAGUUCGUGCCAGCAGCCGCGGUAAGACGAACCGUGCGAACGUUGUUCGGAAUCACUGGGCUUAAAGGGCGCGUAGGCGGGCCGACAAGUCAGAGGUGAAAUCCCACAGCUCAACUGUGGAAGUGCCCCUGAUACUGCCGGUCUGGAGGGAGAUAGGGGCGUGCGGAACUUCCGGUGGAGCGGUGAAAUGCGUAGAUAUCGGAAGGAACACCGGUGGCGAAAGCGGCGCGCUGGAUCUCUUCUGACGCUGAGGCGCGAAAGCCAGGGGAGCGAACGGGAUUAGAUACCCCGGUAGUCCUGGCCCUAAACGUUGGGUACUAGGUAGCGGACUUACAUGGGUUCACUGCCGAAGCAAAAGUUUUAAGUACCCCGCCUGGGGAGUAUGGUCGCAAGGCUGA
rnacentral:rRNA from 1 species